GCUUCUAAGAAAGCAAUAAGUCAUUCUUUGUCAUAGAAAGCACAUCAUCUUGUUGAAUUAGAAACAUGUGAACGAAGCAUACAAAAAUCAGAAAUAGGGAACACUACACAGUGAAACUGUGAAUGGCAAUGUUUUCAAAUAUUGGAAAAAACAUCUUGAGAUGGGAGGCACAACUGAACCGAUAGUACCAUUUAUUUAUUUUCUCAAGCUUUAAAUGUUAAAGAAAAUCAAUUGA
rnacentral:lncRNA from 1 species